GCGGACAUGAUGUAACGGUAGCAUAACGGCUUCCCAAGCCUUUUGUGCGGGUUCGAAUCCCGUUGUCCGCUCCA
rnacentral:tRNA from 1 species